rnacentral:misc_RNA from 2 species
CCGAGUACCGGGUCUUCUAGGCCCAUACUCCCACCCUUUGUGUAUUAAUACUCUGUUCGUUGCCUCGGCGGGGUCGAUCCCAUCUAGGGGGACCUGCCGGGGGGACACCACUAAACUCUUAUCAACGGUGAAGUCUGAGAAAAUUUUUAAACGAAUUA